rnacentral:misc_RNA from 1 species
AACGCACAUUGCGCCCUUUGGCAUCCCGAAGGGCAUGCCUGUUCGAGCGUCAUUUCACCAAUCAAGCCUGGCUUGGUGUUGGGUGCCGUCCCGCCCUCUUGCGCGCGGACGCUCCCUAAAAUCAUCGGCGGUGCGGUGCCAGCCUCGGGAGCAGCAGAUGUUCGCUCCGUGGGCCUGGCGGCGCGGCGGCCGCGACGACAACCUCUCAGGGUUGACCUCGGAUCAGGUAGGGAUACCCGCUGAACUUAA